UACGUAGGGUGCAAGCGUUGUCCGGAAUUAUUGGGCGUAAAGCGCGCGUAGGCGGUCUGUCGAGUCUGCUGUGAAAACUCGCGGCUUAACCCCGGGCCUGCAGUGGGUACGGGCAGACUAGAGUGCGGUAGGGGAGACUGGAAUUCCUGGUGUAGCGGUGAAAUGCGCAGAUAUCAGGAGGAACACCGGUGGCGAAGGCGGGUCGCUGGGCCGUAACUGACGCUGAGGAGCGAAAGCGUGGGGAGCGAACAGG
rnacentral:rRNA from 1 species